AGAGUUUGAUCCUGGCUUAGGAUGAACGCUAGCUACAGGCUAACACAUGCAAGUCGAGGGCAGCAUGUUGGUUGCUUGCAACCAAUGAUGGCGACCGGCGCACGGGUGAGUAACGCGUAUCCAACCUUCCGCAUAGUAGGGGGAUAGCCCGGUGAAAAUCGGAUUAAUACCCUAUGUUAUUCGCAGAAGACAUCUGAAGUGAAUCAAAGGUUUACCGCUAUGCGAUGGGGAUGCGUCUGAUUAGGUAGACGGCGGGGUAACGGCCCACCGUGCCAACGAUCAGUAGGGGUUCUGAGAGGAAGGUCCCCCACAUUGGAACUGAGACACGGUCCAAACUCCUACGGGAGGCAGCAGUGAGGGAAUUAUUGGUCAAGUGGGCGAGAGCCUGAACCAGCCAAGUAGCCGUGCAGGAAGACGGCCCUAUGGGUUGUAAACUGCUUUUAUAUGGGGAAUAAAGUCACCUACGUGUAGGUGUUUGUAGGUACCAUAUGAAUAAGGACCGGCUAAUUCCGUGCCAGCCGCGGC
rnacentral:rRNA from 1 species